CCUACGGGUGGCAGCAGUGGGGAAUAUUGCGCAAUGGGCGAAAGCCUGACGCAGCGACGCCGCGUGAGGGAUGAAGGUCUUCGGAUCGUAAACCACUGUCAGCAGGGAGGAACGGUCACUGUGCUAAUCAGCAGUGAAUUGACGGUACCUGCAAAGGAAGCACCGGCUAACUCCGUGCCAGCAGCCGCGGUAAUACGGAGGGUGUGAGCGUUAAUCGGAAUUACUGGGCGUAAAGCGCUCGUAGGCGGUAUGUUAAGUCAAGGGUGAAAUCCCCGCGCUCAACGUGGGAACUGCAUUUGAUACUGGCAAACUUGAGUGUGGGAGAGGAUAGUGGAAUUCCAGGUGUAGGAGUGAAAUCCGUAGAUAUCUGGAGGAACAUCAGUGGCGAAGGCGACCAUCUGGCACAUAACUGACGCUGAGGAGCGAAAGCGUGGGGAGCAAACAGGAUUAGAUACCCGGGUAGUC
rnacentral:rRNA from 1 species